ACACUUCCGUCAGGGGUCUCCCUGGCGGCAAGUGUAGCAUAUCUGGUUUAAAAUUUAAUAUCUGGUAUAUAUGUUGGCUCUUGGGCCAACAUGGUAUUAAACGAUUUAUUUUGGGGAGGGCCCGCAACACAGUAGCUUGCUGCUGGAGGUCCUGAGCGUCGCCGUUGCGUAGCACUGCAGCUCCGGUAGACGCACCCCAA